CCUAAAUAUUCCCUGGUGACCGAUAGCGGAUAGUACCGUGAGGGAAUGGUGAAAAGUACCGCGGGAGCGGAGUGAAAUAGUACCUGAAACCGUGUGCCUACAAGCCGUGGGAGCGUCGCGCAAGGACUUGUCCUUGCGUCGUGACUGCGUGCCUUUUGAAGAAUGAGCCUGCGAGUUUGCGGUGUGUUGCGAGGUUAACCCGGGUGGGGAAGCCGUAGCGAAAGCGAGUCCGAACAGGGCGUUUUAGUAGCACGCUCAAGACCCGAAGCGGAGUGAUCUAGCCAUGGGCAGGUUGAAGCGGCUGUAAGAGGUCGUGGAGGACCGAACCCACCAGGGUUGAAAACCUGGGGGAUGACCUGUGGUUAGGGGUGAAAGGCCAAUCAAACUCCGUGAUAGCUGGUUCUCCCCGAAAUGCAUUUAGGUGCAGCGUCGUGUGUUUCUUGCCGGAGGUAGAGCACUGGAUAGGCGAUGGGCCCUACCGGGUUACUGACCUUAGCCAAACUCCGAAUGCCGGUAAGUGAGAGCGCGGCAGUGAGACUGUGGGGGAUAAGCUCCAUGGUCGAGAGGGAAACAGCCCAGAGCAUCGACUAAGGCCCCUAAGCGUACGCUAAGUGGGAAAGGAUGUGGAGUCGCACAGACAACCAGGAGGUUGGCUUAGAAGCAGCCACCCUUGAAAGAGUGCGUAAUAGCUCACUGGUCUAGUGAUUCCGCGCCGACAAUGUAGCGGGGCUCAAGCGUACCGCCGAAGUCGUGUCAUUGCGAUAUAUACCCCCAACGGGGAUCGUGAUGGGUAGGGGAGCGUCGUGUGCCGGGUGAAGCAGCCGCGGAAGCGAGUUGUGGACGGUUCACGAGUGAGAAUGCAGGCAUGAGUAGCGAUACAAACGUGAGAAACGUUUGCGCCGAUUGACUAAGGGUUCCUGGGUCAAGCUGAUCUGCCCAGGGUAAGUCGGGACCUAAGGCGAGGCCGACAGGCGUAGUCGAUGGAUAACCGGUUGAUAUUCCGGUACCCGCUGUGAAGCGUCAAACAUUGAAUCAGGCGAUGCUAAGUCCGUGAAGCCGCCCCUGAUCUCUUCGGAGUGAGGGGGAGUGGUGGAGCCGAUGAUCCAGACCUGUAGUAGGUGAGUGAUGGGGUGACGCAGGAAGGUAGUCCAUCCCGGGCGGUGGUUGUCCCGGGGUAAGGGUGUAGGCCGUGCGAUAGGUAAAUCCGUCGCACUUGUGGCUGAGACCUGAUGCCGAGCCGAUUGUGGUGAAGUGGAUGAUCCUAUGCUGUCGA
rnacentral:rRNA from 1 species